ensembl:lincRNA
AUUAACUAUCUUUCUCAAGCUGUACAUUAUGUCUCUAGACUUAUUCAUUCUAUGUGUAUGCAACCUUUUGCCCUCCAACCUCACUCUUCCCAUUCCCAAUCUCUCCCAUCCACCUAUUCAUUGCCUUUGGUAACCACCUUUCUGCUGUUUGUUUCUAGUAUGGAGACCCUGCCAUUUGCGACAACAUGGAUGUAUCUGCAGGACAUUAAGACAAGUGCAAUAAGCAAGACACGGAAAGAAAAUAUAGCAUGGUCUCUCUUAUAUGUGGAAUUUUAAAAAUUAACUCUGAAUACUUUGGAUUAAACUGAUGCAGCAAUCAUCCAAGAGAUGUCCACAUACGCACUCCUGUUAACGUUAGUUCCUUUCAUCCAAGCCAUCAGAGGUUCUCCCUGGAUCUCAUUUUUGGGAGUAGCUGACUUUUUCAUUCUCUGCUGGAGCGUUUGGGCUGAUUCAUCACCGCCUCCCCCACCACCAUUCACUGAGUGUAGCCCCUGGUCGUGGCUGCCUUUUCUGCUAUUUUAUAGACCCAAGCCUGAAUCUAUAAAGCGCUUCCCUUGGUACCUCCCAGAAACUUUUUAUUGCCUGUCUCUUUCUGUCAACUCAGUUGCAGAAAAAUACAUUUUAUGGCUCCAGUACUUUAAGAAAGCUCUGAAAAAUCAAAUCUGUCCAUGGGAGUGCCAGCAUACUAUCUAUUAGAUUAAAUGAAGCUGUAAGCAUCUUUGAAGUACAAAUGAUACUUGGAAAGUAAAUGAAACUGGGAAUACUUGCAAGUAAAAUAUGGGAAGUCAAAGAGAUUAAAGGAUGAGAACCAGAAAUUGCUUAUGGCCAGUGUCCUGAGUAAGCCUCAGAAUCGCAUCCUAGAAGCAUCACGUUCUUGCGUUACCCUAUGGAUCUAAAAAAAGACUUCCUUAGUUUGAUGUAGUCUGCAGACAUCUCAUCAUCACAAAAACUUGAAAGCACUUACAGCACUAAGAAACUACCUUUGCAGAUUGUAAAAAAAGAUAGAAUCCUACUUAGUGUUUUGAUCACACCUGCCUACUUCCCCAAGGUUUUACUGCAGGGUUAAAGAAUGAAUAAGCAUCUAGUUAUAUUUAAUAAACUCCAUGCCUCAUGGCUGAUUCUAAAGGCACAUGGCUUUGUUACAUUCGCUUGAAGCUCUGCUUUAUUUUCUAAAAAUGGUUGCUUACAGUGGUCCCUUGCAGCCCAUGGUGAUAGUUUAUAGGGUGCUAUGUUAUUUUUGUUUACUUGAGUGGAUAUUUAUACACAUGCCUCUUUAGAUUCAGGUGUUUUCAUUUUUUUUGUCAGGAGUUUGGUAUCCAUAUGCAGAAAAAUGCUGAUGAGUCAUUGCAUUUAUCUAUUGCUUAGAGAGAUGAUGAUGGGUCAUAAACCCAGAUAUUUAAACAAACAACCAGAAUAGUUUGUUACUUUCAGGCAAGAUUCCUGAUCGUUUUGUUGUUGUUGUUGCUGUUGUUGUUUUUCCUGCAAUGAAAGAGGCAGCAGAAGGGAAUCAGAUAAAUAACCCUCUCACAUAUCGUAUUUACUUGUAAUAUUGUUAUGCCAUCAAGUAGAACAAAAAUCAAUAUAAUUGCUUUAUAUUUAUCAAGUACUCACUCUGUGCCAGUCUUCUAAAUGCUGUAUGUGAAUUAAUGCAUUUAAUUCUCAACACCACCCUGUGAAGUAUCUAUUCAUAUUUCCUGAUUUUUCUGAUGAGAUACUGAAGCACACAGUGUAUAAUAAUUUGCUCGACUUCACAGUUGGUAAGUGGUAAAUCUGAGAUUCAUGCUUAGAAAGUUGCGUUCCAGAAUCCACAUGGUUAACCACCAUGCUAUAACAGUUGACAUAAGCUGAAACCUGGAAGAGUAGAAUGGUCAAUUCUCAGCUUAGAGCAAUUUGUGAGUACUGUCUGACCAAAUCAAUUAUUACAAAAUUUAUCUGGUUUAUAGCAAUAAUAAAAGACAGGAAUUGGUUACUGUAAGAUCUGGUUCUGAAAAAAAGAAAGCAAGAAAGAAGCCAUACAAAUUAAG